rnacentral:tRNA from 1 species
CGCGGGGUAGAGCAGCCCGGUAGCUCGUCAGGCUCAUAACCUGAAGGUCACAGGUUCAAAUCCUACCCCCGCAACCA